rnacentral:rRNA from 1 species
GAUGAACGCUAGCGGCAGGCCUAAUACAUGCAAGACGAACGGUAAGUUGAGUAGCAAUACUUAGCCAAGAGUGUCGUACGGGUGCGUAACACGUAUGCAACCUACCCUAUACAGGAGGAUAGCCUAGGGAAACCUGGAUUAACCCUUCAUAGUAUUAUUGGAUGGCAUCAUUUGAUAAUUAAAACUGAGGUGGUAUAGGAUGGGCAUGCGUCUGAUUAGUUAGUUGGCGGGGUAAUGGCCCACCAAGACGAUGAUCAGUAGGGGUUCUGAGAGGAAGAUCCCCCACACUGGCACUGAGAUACGGGCCAGACUCCUACGGGAGGCAGCAGUAGGGAAUAUUGGUCAAUGGAUGCGAGUCUGAACCAGCCAUGCCGCGUGCAGGAA